UACGGAGGGUGCGAGCGUUAAUCGGAAUUACUGGGCGUAAAGCGCACGUAGGCGGCCUGUUAAGCAAGAUGUGAAAGCCCAAGGCUCAACCUUGGAACUGCAUUUAGAACUGGGUAGCUAGAGUAUGGCAGAGGAGUGUGGAAUUUCCGGUGUAGCGAUGAAAUGCGUAGAUAUCGGAAGGAACACCAGUGGCGAAGGCGACACUCUGGGCCAAUACUGACGCUGAGGUGCGAAAGCGUGGGGAGCAAACAGG
rnacentral:misc_RNA from 1 species